UACGGAGGGUGCAAGCGUUAUCCGGAUUUACUGGGUUUAAAGGGUGCGUAGGCGGGUUGUUAAGUCAGUGGUGAAAGAUUCGAGCUUAACUCGGAAACUGCCAUUGAUACUGAUGACCUUGAAUACAGUUGAGGUAGGCGGAAUGUGUCAUGUAGCGGUGAAAUGCUUAGAUAUGACACAGAACACCGAUUGCGAAGGCAGCUUGCUAAACUGUUAUUGACGCUGAGGCACGAAAGCGUGGGGAUCAAACAGG
rnacentral:rRNA from 1 species